rnacentral:rRNA from 1 species
UACGGAGGGUGCGAGCGUUGUCCGGAAUCACUGGGCGUAAAGGGCGCGUAGGCGGCAUGCCAAGCGUGUGGUGAAAGCCCGGGGCUCGACCCCGGGUCGGCCGUGCGGACUGGCGUGCUUGAGCACUGUAGGGGCGGGUGGAAUUCCGGGUGUAGCGGUGGAAUGCGUAGAGAUCCGGAAGAACACCGGUGGCGAAGGCGGCCCGCUGGGCAGGAAGACGGAGCAAUCCGUCGGCUGACGCUGAGGCGCGACAGCGUGGGGAGCAAACAGG